rnacentral:rRNA from 1 species
CGGGCCGUGCUAUACAUGCAGUCGAGCGAACGGACGAGAAGCUUGCUUCUCUGAUGUUAGCGGCGGACGGGUGAGUAACACGUGGAUAACCUACCUAUAAGACUGGGAUAACUUCGGGAAACCGGAGCUAAUACCGGAUAAUAUUUUGAACCGCAUGGUUCAAAAGUGAAAGACGGUCUUGCUGUCACUUAUAGAUGGAUCCGCGCUGCAUUAGCUAGUUGGUAAGGUAACGGCUUACCAAGGCAACGAUGCAUAGCCGACCUGAGAGGGUGAUCGGCCACACUGGAACUGAGACACGGUCCAGACUCCUACGGGAGGCAGCAGUAGGGAAUCUUCCGCAAUGGGCGAAAGCCUGACGGAGCAACGCCGCGUGAGUGAUGAAGGUCUUCGGAUCGUAAAACUCUGUUAUUAGGGAAGAACAUAUGUGUAAGUAACUGUGCCUUGACGGUACCUAAUCAGAAAGCCACGGCUAACUACGUGCCAGCAGCCGCGGUAAUACGUAGGUGGCAAGCGUUAUCCGGAAUUAUUGGGCGUAAAGCGCGCGUAGGCGGUUUUUACAUUAAGUCUGAUGUGAAAGCCCACGGCUCAACCGUGGAGGGUCAUUGGAAACUGGAAAACUUGAGUGCAGAAGAGGAAAGUGGAAUUCCAUGUGUAGCGGUGAAAUGCGCAGAGAUAUGGAGAACACCAGUGGCGAAGGCGACUUUCUGGUCUGUAACUGACGCUGAUGUGCGAAAGCGUGGGGAUCAAACAGGAUUAGAUAGCCCUGGUAGUCCACGCCGUAAACGAUGAGUGCUAAGUGUUAGGGGGUUUCCGCCCCUUAGUGCUGCAGCUAACGCAUUAAGCACUCCGCCUGGGGAGUACGACCGCAAGGUUGAAACUCAAAGGAAUUGACGGGGACCCGCACAAGCGGUGGAGCAUGUGGUUUAAUUUCGAAGCAACGCGAAGAACCUUACCAAAUCUUGACAUCCUUUGAACAACUCUAGAGAUAGAGCCUUCCCCCUUCGGAGGAAAAAGUGACAGGUGUGCAUGAAGUCGUCAGCUCGUGUCAGUGAAGAUGUGGUUAGUCCCGCAACGAGCGCACCGUAGGCUAGUGCAUCAUUAGUGGCACUCUAGUGACUGCCGUGAACAACGGAAGAAGGUGGGAUGACGUCAUCAUCAUGCCCUUAUGAAAUGGGGGCUUAACACG